GCACUGCAGGUUUUAUUAUGCACGCGAGGACUUUACCUCGAGGUUCUCUCGUCGAACUCGCUCGCGGCUAAACGAGUGCGGCGACAGCGGUAAUAAGUGCGCCUGUAUGUAGGUACGCUGCGACACGACGGCGGCGGCGGUGACGGCCAUAUACGACGUAUCAUAUGAUAUAUAAAUGCAGACGCAAAAAAGCCGCAAAUGCAUCAUCGGUCUCAGUUUUAUAUAUGUAUCGUAAUGAUGUAUGUAAUGCUCUGGGGUACGUACGUUCGCGAUCGGUUGGACUGUCAGUGCGCUGGCGCGUCUGUGCGAGGAAUAAACAUUGCCGAUUUGCGAUCGUUGCACCGAUCGCCUCUCCCUUUUUUUACUUUCUCCAUCUAUCUUUUGGUUUUAUUCAACGAGUAACACGAAAAAAAGGACAAAAUCAUCUGCUAUAACAGACCAGAGGAUGACAAUAAAUCUGUACCCAAAGUUUUCGUUCUAGUCCAACUGAUCCAGCAGUGUCAUCGAGUAGUAUACAUCUAACUUUGUGCGAUUUCAUCGUGUGACACCUAAAUAUACGUGCCUACGCAAAUUUUACUCGCGGAUAACAAUUAAAUGGCAUUACGAUCUCGACACGGAUGCUUCUUUUUACGCGUAAAUCCACGCUAUACCUACAUUAUCUCCUAAGUGUUUAUUAUAGACUUUUUUUCGAGCGAAUAGAUAACGCGCGAGUCACGCUCGUUCCGCGGAUUUCGUAUUCGAGAGAGAUUUUAUUAUCGAG